rnacentral:rRNA from 1 species
GACCAACGCUGGCGGCGUGCUUAACACAUGCAAGUCGAACGGAAAGGCCCUGCUUUUGUGGGGUGCUCGAGUGGCGAACGGGUGAGUAACACGUGAGUAACCUGCCCUUGACUUUGGGAUAACUUCAGGAAACUGGGGCUAAUACCGGAUAGGAGCUCCUGCUGCAUGGUGGGGGUUGGAAAGUUUCGGCGGUUGGGGCUGGACUCGCGGCUUAUCGGCUUGUUGGUGGGGUAGUGGCUUACCAAGGCUUUGACGGGUAGCCGGCCUGAGAGGGUGACCGGCCACAUGGGGCCUGAGAUACGGCCCAGACUCCUACGGGCGGCAGCAGUGGGGAAUAUUGCACAAUGGGCGGAAGCCUGAUGCAGCAACGCCGCGUGCGGGAUGACGGCCUUCGGGUUGUAAACCGCUUUCGCCUGUGACGAAGCGUGAGUGACGGUAAUGGGUAAAGAAGCACCGGCUAACUACGUG